rnacentral:rRNA from 1 species
AAUGGACGAAAGUCUGACGCAGCAACGCCGCGUGGGUGAUGAAGGUCUUCGGAUCGUAAAACCCUGUCGUCAGGGACGAAGGUAAUGUGCCUAAUACGCAUGUUGCUUGACGGUACCUGGAGAGGAAGCCCCGGCUAACUCUGUGCCAGCAGCCGCGGUAAUACAGAGGGGGCAAGCGUUAUUCGGAAUUAUUGGGCGUAAAGGGCGCGUAGGCGGUCUUUUAAGUCAGAUGUGCAAUCCCCGAGCUCAACUUGGGAACUGCAUCUGAGACUGGAAGACUCGAGUGCUGGAGAGGGUGGUAGAAUUCCACGUGUAGCGGUGAAAUGCGUAGAGAUGUGGAGGAAUACCAGUGGCGAAGGCGGCCACCUGGACAGUAACUGACGCUGAGGCGCGAAAGUGUGGGUAGCAAA